rnacentral:rRNA from 1 species
GACGAACGCUGGCGGCAGGCUUAACACAUGCAAGUCGAACGCAUCCUUCGGGGUGAGUGGCAGACGGGUGAGUAACGCGUGGGAACGUGCCCUUCAGUUCGGGAUAACCCAGGGAAACUUGGGCUCAUACCGGAUACGUGCGAGAGCAGAAAGAUUUAUCGCUGAAGGAUCGGCCCGCGUCUGAUUAUGUAGUUGGUGGGGUAAUGGCCCACCAAGGCGACGAUCAGUAGCUGGUCUGAGAGGAUGAUCAGCCACAUUGGGACUUCGACACGGCCCAAACUCCUACGGGAGGCAGCAGUGGGGAAUAUUGGACAAGGGGCGCAAGCCUGAUCCAGCCAUGCCGCGUGAGUGAUGAAGGCCUUAGGGUUGUAAAGCUCUUUCGUCCGGGACGAUAAUGACGGUACCGGAAGAAGAAGCCCCGGCUAACUUCGUGCCAGCCGCCGCCGUAA